GUUUGAUUCGAAACACGUUCCUUGCUUACAGCAGUGAUUUUAUUUGAAUGUUGAUUGUUUAUUUAUCAUUCCCUUGUAUGUGUGUGGCUGGAUAAAAAGCCCUUUUGUUUUGAAGCGUCCUGAGAACUGCGGGAGGGACAGGGGAAGCUCAGGAACUCCUGGUGGACUGAAUAAAACAAUGAUAAUAAAAUUAUAGAAGGUUGGAGCCAGAAGGAGACCAAGUAGAUGGUGUAAUUGAACUUCCCACACUAAACCUGGACGUGGAUGUUUGCUGGCGUGUUCUUAAACGUUUUUAACACCUCCAGGGAGCUUCCAUAACAUUGUGAGAUGGAUCUUCCUGAUGUUCUACCUCUGUGACAGUGAGAAGCUCUUGCCUAACUUGGCAAAACUGAGCAUGGAAGAAAUUUAAAUUGCUCUGAAGUGCCUUCCUUUAACUGAAAUAGGUUAGAACUAAACAUGUGUUAUUAGGGCAGGAAGAUAUUUGGAAUUUCAAGUGAUGUCUGACACCUUCUUUGCUCAGAUCUGGCUGUCUGGACACACACCCUGAGGCCCUGGACACUCAACUCCCUCCUCACUUUCUGGUCUCCAGCAUCACAGGAAAGCCAAGAGAUCUGCUCUGAGCCACUGCUUGGGUGGAGGUGCCGGAUUAAAGCCCGGGAUUAAAGCUUCUGAUUGCUCAACAGUAGCUUUGAUACACCGAGAGCUGGUCCCAUCCACAGCCUGGGGCUUGUGACUGCAUUCCAAUGGGCAUCCCUAAUUCCCCCCGAGUGCAGAGAGCAAUCCUGGGAAGUCAGCCUGCUUCCUUUGCAUUGUGCCUGCUGGCUGAUGACCCGCGUUUACCGACGCCACUGACUCAUCUGCAAGUGUGAUG